GAACAUUAGUGAAUUGGCAAGUUCUGUUGUCCCAGUCCCUAUCUGACUCAAACCUUAUCUGUAUUGUUUCUCUGACUCCCCAUCCAUACCAGUUCCACUCUGAUGUGAUCACUAAUUGAAGUGGUUCAUAAAGACAUCAUCCAUUUUGUUUUUCUAUGCUGUCUGAAGAAGAAAAGAAGUAAAAUGGAGGACAAGAACAAAGAAAGACACUCCAGUUCAGUGGUCCCCAACCUUUUUGGCACCAGGGACUGGUUUCAUGGAAGAUAAUUUUUCCACAGAUGGGGGUGGGGGGGAUGGUUUCCAGAUGAAAUUGUUCCACCUCAGAUCAUCAGGCAUUAGAUUCUCAUAAAGAGUGGCAACCCAGUUCCCUCACAGGUGCAGUCACAAUAGGGUUCCUGCUGCUAUGAGAAUCUAAUGCCACUGCUCAUCUGAUGGGAGGUGGAGCUCAGGCAGUAAUGCUCGCUCAUCUGCCACUCUCCUCCUGCUCUGUGGCCUGGUUCCUAACAGGCACAGACAGGUACCUGUCUGUGGCAUGGUGGUUAGGGACCCCUGCUCUAGCUUUUCCUUUGUUGGGAGCCUAGUGACCUAGACUUAAGCUGUAAUAACUUAAGUUUCUAUGGCCAUGGAAUGGUUGAAUGACGAACCAUCUUCCCACAUUUAUAUGGUUUCAUUCCAUGCUGAAGGAGAAUAAGAGAGAUGGUUAAAACUUUCCCCUAAAUAUCAUCUAUAGAGAUAUUUUGGGAAAAAAGAGGAGGAACCAUCUGAAAGCAGCUGUAUAAUUUCUAUACAUUUAAAAUUUUAGGUGAAUUUGAACAGGAAGACACUUAGUUGGCUAAUGGGAAGAGAGACUGUUGGUACAAUAUAUAGCUAUAUUUACUUUGCAGUCUAGCUAUGCUUCACUGGGCAACUGGAAAUUCAGUGGUGGCUGAGGCGAGGGAGGGCAGACUCAGAAAAGGAGGGUCAGAAAGGGAGGUGGCAGCCUUGGCUGCUCUCUUCAAUGAGGUAAUCCUUCCUCCGUGCUGCCCUGCUGUCCCUGUGCCUGCUGCCAGUGCCCAUAGAGCUCCAGAUGCAAUUGAUCUCAUUAUAUAUCAGAACAGAAUUGGCUUGAACAGCCUGUUCUAUCCUGGUGAUUAGGACAUAGCAUAUUUUUCUUCCCCCUCUCCCUCAGCCCUAUCUUAGUCCCUUGGCCGAAGGUUCUUUUGUCUAUGGAUUAAUCUAGGGUUGAUCUAAGUUUACUUACUUGCUGCAAGCCUGGGCUGGCAAGGUAGACAUAAUCCUCAAAUAGCUCUGAAAACCCUGCUCCCACUGUCAACGUGUAUUCUAAUUUGUUUAACCUCUGUCUACUUGGACUCAAACCAACCCGAAGAAACUGGGCACAUGGCUUAGUAGGAUUAAAUCAAAGAUUAGUUCUGCCUCUUAUCUAAGAUGUAAUUCUCAUUUUGAUGUCAACUUUCAAGGAGGCUUCUCAAUGCUUUAUUUUUCUCAGAUCAGGAGAGAAGAAUCUCAGGACAUAAAGGAGACUUUAAAAGACCGCUACUCUGUGCCUUCAGUAAAGACUGCACUUAAAAUAUUACCUUAAUAGAAAGCUCCUUUUCUUUCUUCAAACUCUCUAGAGAGAGACAAACUCCUUGUUAAGUGUUCUGUAUCUCUCUAAUGUAGGGCAAUUCUCUAAUGAAGCUGAUUAUGAGAUUUGGGGAGUGGGGGUGGGCAGGUCGUGAGAUGCCUCUGCUUCAUAGGGAAACUGAGAAGUCAAAAGCAGAGGGUGAAGACAAUGUAGUGGUCUGCAAGUGAAUCUUGUCCUUACUUGAACCAGAAAUAAACUCUAGUUUGACUCUGAGUUAGUGGCAUGCCCUGUGUGGGCCUUAGUUUCCUCAACUGUAUGAUAAAGGAAAAUCCUCAAGUCUCUCACAGCUCUAAGAUUCUUCUAGCUUGUGAUUUAACUCACUUGGGAAAUAAGUUGCAAGGCUCAGAAGGAAAAUGCAAUUAGUGCCCACUGGCUAUUUCACUUCUUCUCAGAAUCUUCCUUCUUCACAAUAUACCCAGGAAGCUAGGAUACAGACGUUCCUCUUUUUGAAAGGGGACGAACCAAAGCGUUAUUCUUAGUUACUAAUAGAGUCUCCUAAACUUGCUACCAUCAAAGACAAACACUGGCCCAUGGAAAACCAAACACAGAGCCUGAGAAUCUGCAUAUCCUCAUGGGAGCAGUUGCUGUGGUAGGCAAGCACUAAGGGCAAGCCGCGGCCACACCCUUCCGGGUGUCUCAUAAUGGGCUUCAUUACCAAGGGACUCUGUUCUUUCUUAUUUCAUCCUUCUCCCUUAUUUUCUGUUUUGCUAUAGAUAAUGAACUUCUAAUACACUCUAGCUUCCAAGGGAAAAGAUAAAAUAACCAGAAAAGACAUGGUUUUUAAGUUUAAAAAAAUCCCUAAUGUUUCAGGAUUAUCGAUUUUAAUAUUCUAGUGAUAUUACUAUUGCUUGGCAGUGAUUACUCAGGGAUAGACAGAGUUCCCACUCGGGCUUGGGAAAUGCUGAGCAAGCAGCUUACAGAGCAAUUUUGAAAUUAUGAACGGAAAGUAUAGGUAAGGUGUAAUUCGAAGCAGAGAAAUAAGCCUUAGUAAGACAGCAUUCUAUAAGGCACAGAAGACAACAUUCUAUAAGGCAUAGUUUUUAAAAACCUUGACAUCUGGAAACCACUUAAGGAAUAGAUUACUGGUGUCAAACAAAUUUUUUAAAAAUCAUGAUGUUUUAAAAAUAUAUAUAUUUUAAAGUUAAUAAGAAUAAGAGUAGCUUUAUGUAAACAUCAGAUUGCUGGAGCUUUAGGCCAGAUUUUACGUCUGGGUGGCUUAUCUUUUCCUUUUCCUUUCUACUUAAUUAAAAAACCCUAAUGCAAAAUUACAGCUCCUUGAAAAUGGCAGCAAGGUAGCUCUUGGUAUUUAGAUUGAGAUAUUAUGGAACAAUUUCUUACUGAAGACUACUUUGAGUUUUCCAUCAUAUGUUGAGUUAGUGAGUGUGUUAGACUCAGAAGUAGGACAGUUGAAUGUUAAAUGACUUGACUUAGAAGAUGGUGGUGAAUGGAUUCUGAAUACACUCUUUGGUAGUAUUAGUCUCUGUAAAGAAUUUUUUCAAGUUCUAUGGUAGAAUUUGGAUGUGUUUUUUGAAAAAUAUGCUCAAUGAUGUGCUCAUAGAUUUUUUUUUUCUUUGCUGGGUGGAGAAAAUGAUCAAAUGCUGAAAAGAGCCAAACUCAGAAAUUGAGCCAUUUGAGUCACAGAAAUUCUACUAUUUUAUACACAGCAUUAAAAACUGAAAAUUUGACCCUAAAGUAAUGGGUUAUACCAUUAAGAUGCUGCAUAUAUCACUGAUACACACCAUUCAAGGUCAGUGUCAUAUAGAAAUGUUUUUAUCUCAUCUUUCACCUAAAAAAAAAUCAGCGUAAGCAUCCUUCCUUUCAUAGAAUAGAACAUUUCAAACGGGAAAGCAUAAUCUUGAGCUUUCUUCCCAUUUCUUGCCUAAAGUCGUGACUUGAUUGUAUUAAUAAUUUUCACUAGAACCCUCAACAUGGAAUCAAGAGCCAGAGGUAUGUUGCUGACCAUUAGCUGCUCUCUAUAAAUAAGCCAGGGUGUGGACCUAUAUUCGGGUGCAACAUCUUUUAUUCAUGGGAAAAAACCAUUCCUUGCUGCUCAGUCAGUUGGUAUUUAAUUAUUGUUAGACCAAGUGCACGUUUGUCAGUCUACACCAUAUAACUCCCCCUGAAAAGUGGUAAUAAAUAAAACCAAGCAAACAAACACUUUCUCCUGUAGCCUGG
rnacentral:lncRNA from 10 species